ACUCAAUUAAACCUAAAGGCGCAAUGAAAGUAAAGGUCCGCCUCGCGCGGACCUAGGGAGGAUGCGCCCGACCGCGGUCGGGCACCGCACUCCCGGGGCGUCUCGUUCUCAUAGCGAGAAGAGGCGCACCCAGAGCGUACACGCUGGGACCCGAAAGAUGGUGAACUAUGCCUGGUCAGGACGAAGUCAGGGGAAACCCUGAUGGAGGUCCGUAGCGAUUCUGACGUGCAAAUCGAUCGUCGGAACUGGGUAUAGGGGCGAAAGACUAAUCGAACCUUCUAGUAGCUGGUUCCUUCCGA
rnacentral:rRNA from 1 species